GGUUUCAUGUGGUGUUUGGGUAUCUUCUCACGAGAGACACACACCAACCUAAGCAGUUAUUCGCCUUCGACAUCAAGUUCACCAGCCCUCCCCAAGUAUACGCACAGAAUUAUCGGGUGUUUCAGAAGCCAUUAUCCAUUUUAGUAAAACAGGAGAUGGAGUAUGUUUCCGAGGACAAUGAGUGAGAUACGGGUAGAGUAAGGCUCUGAAGUUUCGAGAACCAGCUUCUACUUCUUGCAGAAGGGCAUAGACCUCCUUGCAAACUCUUCUGUCUCUGAUUAUGUAUCAACAGAAGCAUUGAUGCACCAUCAUCUGAUACAUAGCAGCUAACCUUGUCCACAAUGUAGUCCACAGAAAGUAUAGAGAGGACAGUGUUGGCACUGAUGAUAUCAGACUCCUACAGAGGAUCAACUGUACCAACAAACACAUCAACUGGUGAAAGCUUGUUUGACUGACCAUCACGUUCAAACCUUGCAGAGAGGUUAUUCAGAUGGGCUUCACGAGUGAUGGGAAACCAUUUUGGGUGAACCAGUGAACAAGAUCCAACAUAUAACUAAGGUGAACCAAACGGGAUAGGCAUAUUUUGCUGGAGGCAUGAUAAAAACCAAAAAAUGAAGAUGAGGAUGACAAGCCUGAGGACUAUAAUGAUGCGGUAUGGAUUGAUCUUGCUUGAGGUGAUUUGCACCUGUCGUCAUAGGGGCUGCGUGCCUCGGCCAUGCUGCGAAAAUAAUUCAAAGUUCUUGCUCGACACUCUGUAUUUGGAACUCAUCUUCAAAAUCAUCAUGCUCACCAGCAUGCCCUUGAUCUUUCUUAACUCUCUGGCAACCUAACCUACAGGAUUCCAAUUCAUGGUGAGAUUCAUGUUCAGUUGGUUGAUGACCCCUCUGGAAUCCCUGCUAUGUAUAAGGGUUUUAUUGGAGAAGUCCCUUCGUCACUGAGAAACUGCAAGGAAACUUCUCAUUCUGGACCUCGUGGAUAAUAGAUUCCAUUGAAAUAUUCCUCCAUGUUUGGUUGGACAAUUAUGUUCUAUGCAAGAUAUAUCGCAGCAGCUGCGUUGGUGGCGAGAGGAGAAUUACAGCUGUUGCCAAAGAAGUUAACGCAAUCCCUGAACCUGAACCUGAAGACGAAAUCAAAGCACCAACAUAGAAAGGUCGCCUAAACCUGAACCUGAACCGGAGCCUAGAAGCAUGACCCAAUGAACCAGUACAGAAACCAAGUCCUCUAUUUUAACCACACAUUGAAUCCGGACCCUCAACCCGUCACUAGCUACUAGCAUCAUCACUGCCAGUCUUUAGGGUCUUAAAGUUUGCAGUUUGCAGUUGGGUUGGGUUGAUCUUAGUUAUAAAAUUUUCAGUUUGCACUGUAUCGGGCUUAUCUUAGUUAUAAAAAUUUUCAUUUUGCAGGCCUUCGAGUUUUUUAGCUUAUAUUAAAAGAAAGCCACAUUCUGAUUCACAUAUCGAUCAUUGUGAACAAUGUCAUCGAAUCUUUAUGGGAAUAGGUCACUGAAGACCUUCUCUCCAAGCUGAGGGAUGUCUUUGCCUCACCAUCAAAUAUCCAUUCACUCCCCAAGUAUACCUGUGAGAUGUUUGAGAUUCAGAAGAUUUUAUCCAUCUAUCUCGUGAGCUUUUAUUUCUGCUGCUAAAAUGAUUGCUUAAUCUGAGCAUGUAAAUUUGUGGACUAACUUGAAACAAAAUAGAUCUUCUUUUGAGGCGAAUGAGCAAGAAACAGGGAAUAAUUAAGGCUCUGGUCUUCCUAGGAUCAACUCAUGAAGUUAAGGAUCAAUUUGAUAAUCCAGCUAUCAUGGUAACAUAGAUUAGUUGUUGUUGUGCACUCAUUUUUAUCAAGAUUACAUAGCCUAUAUGAUUCAUAUCUGACAAAUUUGCACUCGGUAGUACAAGGAAUGCGCAACUUAUGGGAUUCAUAUGAUCGUUAAUCUUCUCUUGAUAUAGUUUGUUUUGCAAAUAGGAGAUUGUUUUGUGGUGCAUUUCUUGAUGACCUUAAAUUCUUGAAUUUUUUGUCUCUUUUCUUCAGUCUUCUUAUACCCGUCUUUCUUUCUACCUUAGUACUCUAUUUAUCCUACAUAUCUUGCUUGUGACUUUUCUGAGUCUAGUGACUGUGCCUUUCGGUAUGUUCUCCUAUUAUUCUUUUUUUUUUCCUCUAUUUUAUAUACAUAAAUUUGUCUUUAUA